rnacentral:rRNA from 1 species
UACGGAGGAUGCAAGCGUUAUCCGGAUUUAUUGGGUUUAAAGGGUGCGUAGGCGGAGUGCCAAGUCAGCGGUAAAAAUUCGGGGCUCAACCCCGUCGUGCCGUUGAAACUGGCGCCCUUGAGUGGGCGAGAAGUAUGCGGAAUGCGUGGUGUAGCGGUGAAAUGCAUAGAUAUCACGCAGAACCCCGAUUGCGAAGGCAGCAUACCGGCGCCCGACUGACGCUGAAGCACGAAAGCGUGGGUAUCGAACAGG